rnacentral:rRNA from 1 species
UCCAGACUCCUACGGGAGGCAGCAGUGGGGAAUAUUGCACAAUGGGGGAAACCCUGAUGCAGCAACGCCGCGUGAGUGAAGAAGUAUUUCGGUAUGUAAAGCUCUAUCAGCAGGGAAGAGAAUGACGGUACCUGACUAAGAAGCCCCGGCUAACUACGUGCCAGCAGCCGCGGUAAUACGUAGGGGGCGAGCGUUAUCCGGAUUCACUGGGUGUAAAGGGAGCGUAGACGGCCGUGCAAGCCAGGAGUGAAAGCCCGGGGCCCAACCCCGGGACUGCUCUUGAAACUGUGCGGCUGGAGUGCGGGAGGGGCAGGCGGAAUUCCUGGUGUAGCGGUGAAAUGCGUAGAUAUCAGGAGGAACACCGGCGGCGAAGGCGGCCUGCUGGACCGCGACUGACGUUGAGGCUCGAAAGCGUGGGGAGCGAACAGGAUUAGAUACCCCAGUAAC